rnacentral:rRNA from 1 species
UACAGAGGCCCCAAGCGUUGUUCGGAUUCAUUGGGUGUAAAGGGUGCGUAGGCGGCGCGGUAAGUCGGGUGUGAAAUCUCGGAGCUUAACUCCGAAACUGCAUUCGAUACUGCCGUGCUUGAGGACUGGAGAGGAGACUGGAAUUUACGGUGUAGCGGUGAAAUGCGUAGAUAUCGUAAGGAAGACCAGUGGCGAAGGCGGGUCUCUGGACAGUUCCUGACGCUGAGGCGCGAAAGCGUGGGGAGCAAACAGG